rnacentral:rRNA from 1 species
GACGAACGCUGGCGGCGUGCCUAACACAUGCAAGUCGAACGGAGUGGCGAACGGGUGAGUAACACGUGGGUGAUCUGCCUUGCACCUCGGGAUAAGCUUGGGAAACUGGGUCUAAUACCGGAUCGUGCAAGAGGUGUUCGCGGCCUAUCAGCUUGUUGGUGGGGUAAUGGCCUACCAAGGCGUCGACGGGUAGCCGGCCUGAGAGGGUGUACGGCCACAGUAGUACGGAGAUACGGCCCAGAGUCGUACGGGGGGCAGCGGUGGGGAAUCUGGCGCAAGGGGGGGAGGCGUGAUGCAGCGACGCCGCGUGGGGAAUGAAGGCUUGCGGGUUGUAAACUCCUUUCGGCGGGGACGCGGUACCUGUAGAAGAAGCACCGGCUAACUACGUGCCAGCAGCCGCGGUAAUAC